CACCUCCUAACUCCAGUGACUGCUUCCACUCAUUAUGAAACCAUGGAGUUGAUAGAAUCCCGGAUGGAGCAUCUUCCCGCCUACCUCCUUGCUCUAGCUUGCAACUGCCUUGAUUUACCUUCCUAAAUGACUGAAAAAGAAUAAAAGCUACUACAGAAGAUCACAUGUAUCAGGAUUUGUAUUCUGAGAAAUAAACUAAGGAAGAGGAGUGACUGUUAUCAGUUUCAGAAAAAGCUACCAUCUCUUGCCUUUCCUGAGACUAGCUAAGUAUGGUAUGUUUAGAACCUAAUAUUCUAAAUGCU
rnacentral:lncRNA from 1 species